GAGCAGCAGCAGAGAGCAGAGUCCCCUGGACCCAGCUGUGUCUCCAUGAAGAGUGAACGCUCUAUGUACCUACCUCCUGACCUUAAAGAUGGACGCCCCUCUAGAGACGAGAGAAGGAGGCAGAAGAGAGCAGACUCCCCUGGACCCAGCUGUGUCUCCAUGAAGAGUGACCAGUCUAUGGAUCUACCUGAGUGCUUUAAAGAUGGACGCCCCUCCAGAGAGGAGAGGCCACACCAGAAGAGUUCAAAUGUUACCAGGUCUGUACAGAAGAAUCAAAAAGAGCUGAUCAAG